rnacentral:rRNA from 1 species
AACGCUAGCUACAGGCUUAACACAUGCAAGUCGCGGGGCAGCAUGAAUUUAGCUUGCUAAAUUUGAUGGCGACCGGCGCACGGGUGAGUAACGCGUAUCCAACCUUCCCCUGUCCACGGGAUAGCCCGUCGAAAGGCGGAUUAAUACCGUAUGAGGUCACAUGACGGCAUCAGAGUGUGACGAAAGGUUUUGCGGACAGGGAUGGGGAUGCGUCCGAUUAGCUUGUUGGCGGGGUAACGGCCCACCAAGGCAACGAUCGGUAGGGGUUCUGAGAGGAAGGUCCCCCACAUUGGAACUGAGACACGGUCCAAACUCCUACGGGAGGCAGCAGUGAGGAAUAUUGGUCAAUGGACGAGAGUCUGAACCAGCCAAGUAGCGUGCAGGAUGACGGCCCUAUGGGUUGUAAACUGCUUUUAUGUGGGAAUAAAUAAGAUUACGUGUAAUCUGUUGCAUGUACCACAUGAAUAAGGACCGGCUAAUUCCGUGCCAGCAGCCGCGGUAAUACGGAAGGUCCAGGCGUUAUCCGGAUUUAUUGGGUUUAAAGGGAGCGUAGGCGGUCUGUUAAGCGUGUUGUGAAAUGUAACGGCUCAACCGUUGACUUGCAGCGCGAACUGGCAGUCUUGAGUGCGCAGGAAGUAGGCGGAAUUCGUGGUGUAGCGGUGAAAUGCUUAGAUAUCACGAAGAACUCCGAUUG